GAUGGUCUUUCCCAAGGCCUCAGCUGUCACUGACAGCUGGUUUUAGCGGAAGGACAGGCUCUGCCUCUGUUUCCUCUCUUAGGACUAUCUUCCCAGCAAGACCCUGCAACAUUACCCUGAAAUUAAAACAUAUGUUUCUGCAGAUCUGUGUCCCAGUGUAAUUGGGCCAACACUUGAGGGAGAGCCAGGUAUGGUGUGACAUGCCUGUAAUAACAGAAGUUUGAGCUACAUGAGAUCUUGUUUUGUUUUCAAGAAGCCAGAGGCAGCUUUUGUAUUUGCCCACCUAAGAAAGACAGGAGCUGUGACCUGAGGCAGACCCCAUGCUCCUCACAGCAAUCUGAGCUGUUUUAUUGCUAUUAUUAAAUCACCAUUGUUAUAUACUCAGAAAUAAAAAUAUUCAGCUGGAUUACAGUGGCCACUCAAAAACUUACCCAGUCACAGUCUAUAAUCUUGAUGAUCUUUUGUACAGCUAGAACAGCCAUUGUGAAGCUGCUCGUGACUUCACUUUUACCAUUUUACGUUUAUAAGCACUUACACACACACACACACACACACAAAUACAACGAAGUUGAAACUAGAAAACCAGUUAGCUUUACGACUUCAUCUUCACGACUUCACGUAUCCCUUUUGUCUAAACUUUCUGAGUCCUCAUUUUACAGACGAAGAAACCAUUCAACUGGCAUCAAACUACGUUUUAAAUGUUUGUGGGGUAGCCUAGGGUAGUGCUUGCCCAUCAGGUCCUGGGUUCAAAGCCCACAGCAGAAAAGGGGAGAGAAAAAAUGAAAAUCCUGCCCAUAAACAGGAACGGAGAACACAGAGGUUCUCCGCCACCAAGAGUCCCAGACAAUAAGAACGCCAAGGGAGAGGGGAGCACUGAGCCCAGGUUUGGGGGUGCAAGCAGAAGGUGGCCGGUUGAGUCGCCUGCAAGCCGGAAACCUCAGUCUGGAGUUCCGGGGGUGGUGGCUUCCGGGCGAUGGCAAAGCUCGACUACAAGGCAUGCUCUGGUCAGACCGCGUUUCCCGAAAGGAGGAACCCAAGCGAUUACUGCCCAGCAAUGCUUUCAGAGUGUGAAGCGCUCGCUGAGGACACCGUGAGGAGCCCCGCCGCCAGGACCCUCGACCGCCCGCCGUGCCGCGGGGAGCGCAAGGCUUGUCGGGAAGGCGGGCCUAGCGCGCACGCCGGCUGGACGUGCGCCGCCGUAGGCGCAGGGCUCUUCGGGAAGUGUAGUCCUUCGGCUCGGCCCGGGCGGCGGCCCUGAGCCCUGCAACCUGGGCGGCCCAUCCGGCCUGAACCGGGCAUGGCUGGGCCCGGAGGCUCGGGGGGCCCGAUCGGAGCCGGGGCCCUGGCAGGAGGGGUGCGCUCCAAGGUGGCUCCGAGCGUGGACUUUGACCACAGCUGCUCAGACAGUGUCGAGUACCUGACGCUCAACUUUGGACCCUUCGAAACAGUGCAUCGCUGGCGGCGCCUCCCACCCUGCGACGAAUUCGUGGGCGCCCGGCGUAGCAAGCACACAGUCGUAGCAUAUAAGGAUGCCAUCUAUGUGUUUGGCGGAGACAACGGGAAGACGAUGCUCAACGAUCUCCUGCGGUUUGAUGUCAAGGACUGCUCCUGGUGCAGAGCCUUCACCACAGGUACCCCACCAGCCCCCCGUUACCACCACUCAGCCGUCGUCUACGGGAGCAGCAUGUUCGUCUUUGGGGGCUAUACUGGAGACAUCUACUCUAAUUCUAACUUGAAGAAUAAGAAUGACCUCUUUGAAUACAAGUUUGCAACCGGCCAGUGGACAGAGUGGAAAAUUGAAGGGAGGUUGCCAGUGGCCAGGUCAGCCCAUGGGGCCACGGUGUACAGUGACAAGCUCUGGAUCUUUGCUGGCUAUGAUGGCAAUGCCAGGUUGAACGACAUGUGGACAAUUGGCCUCCAAGACGAGAGCUCACAUGCUGGGAGGAGGUGGCCCAGAGUGGGGAGAUUCCCCCGUCCUGCUGCAACUUCCCUGUGGCUGUGUGCCGGAUAAGAUGUUCGUGUUCUCGGGCAGAGCGGAGCCAAGAUCACCAACAACCUCUUCCAGUUCGAAUUCAAGGACAAGACGUGGACACGCAUCCCCACUGAGCACCUGCUCCGGGGCUCCCCACCCCCGCCACAGCGGCGCUAUGGACACACCAUGGUGGCCUUUGACCGUCAUCUCUAUGUGUUUGGGGGUGCGGCGGACAAUACACUGCCCAAUGAGCUGCAUGCUAUGAUGUGGACUUCCAGACUUGGGAGGUUGUCCAGCCCAGCUCUGACAGUGAGGUUGGUGGGGCUGAGGUGCCUGAGCGAGCUUCCUCUUCUGAGGAGGCAUCAAUCCUAACCUCAGAGGAGCGGAGCAGCUUGAAGAAGUCCAGAGAUGUGUUUGGCUUAGACUUUGGCACCACCUCAGCCAAGCAGCCUGUCCACCUGGCAUCAGAGCUGCCCAGUGGGAGGCUCUUCCAUGCAGCUGCUGUCAUCAUCGGACGCCAUGUACAUCUUUGGGGCACUGUGACAACAACAUUCGCAGCGGGGAGAUGUACAGGUUCCAACUCUCUGGCUACCCCAAGUGCACGCUGCAUGAAGACUACGGGCGCCUGUGGGAGGGCCGCCAGUUCUGCGACGUGGAGUUUGUGCUGGGCGAGAAGGAAGAGUGUGUGCAAGGCCACGUUGCCAUCGUCACCGCACACGGAGCCGCUGGCUGCGCAGGAAGAUCCUGCAGGCUCGAGAGUGGCUGGCCCAGGUAAGGUCUCCUUUGGCCCUCGAUGGGCCCUGGAGGAGGGGGCCUUGGGAGCCAGCGUUGGCAGGUGCGCGGCCACCCCUGCUACGUGUGGCCAUUUCGGAUGAUCCGGAGGCCCGCCCGGCGUUCGAGGUGCUCAUGCAGUUUCUCUACACAGACAAGAUCAAGUACCAACGGAAAGGCCAUGUCGAGGACGUGCUUUGCCUCCAUCGAUUGUACAAUUUGUGUACAAGUUGGCGCUGAGCUUCCAGCUGUGCCGUCUUGAACAGCUGUGUCGGCAGUACAUCGAGAGCCUCCGUGGAUCUCCCAGAACGCUGAUGGUUGUGUGUGAUGAGUGCCGCCAGGCUACAGCUGGGCCAGCUUAAGGAGCACUGCCUGAACUUCAUAGUGAGAGGAGUCCCACUUCAACCAGGUGAUCAUUGGAUGAAGGAGUUCGAGCGCCUCUCAUCCCCACUGAUCGUAGAGAUCGUGCGGCGAACAGCAGCCGCCCCCUCGAGCACCCUCGGAUCAACCCGUGGACAUUGGCACAUCUUUGAUCCAGGACAUGAAAGGCAUACCUGGAGGGGGCAGGGCUCGGAGUUCUGUGACAUCACACUGCUACUGGACGGCCACCCACGACCGGCCCACAAAAGCCAUCCUCGCUGCCCGUUUAGCUACUUUGAGGCCAUGUUCCGUUCAUUCAUGCCGGAGGAUGGGCAGGUGAACAUCUCUAUCGGGGAGAUGGUGCCAGCAGACAGGCCUUUGAGUCCCAUGCUACGUUUACAUCUACUAUGGAGAGGUCAACAUGCCCCCUGAGGACUCCCUUUACCUAUUUGCGGCCCCCUACUACUAUGGCUUCUACAAACAAACAGACUGCAGGCAUACUGCAAGCAGAACCUGGAGAUGAACGUGACCGUGCAGAACGUGCUACAGAUUCUGGAGGCGGCUGACAAGACGCAGGCACUGGACAUGAAGCGGCACUGCUUGCACAUCAUUGUGCACCAAUUCACCAAGGUCUCUAAGCUGCCCACACUGCGGCUGCUGAGCCAGCAGCUGCUGCUGGACAUCAUAGACUCCCUGGCCUCCCACAUCUCUGACAAGCAGUGUGCAGAGCUGGGUGCCGACAUCUGAGCAUCUUGGAAGACUCUGUUUGGAGAGUGAUGACACUCGACCGAUUGGCCACAUCUCCACCUACAGUGACCACACCUGUGGUUCCCAGCGCCACAGGGCACUGAGGUGACAGGAACUCAUUGAGGACACAGGCCCCACAGGGAUGGCAAGUGAAGCAGACUCCCCAAGGAGACCAAGGCUCAGGGACGCCACUCAGCGGUAGAAAGAUGAUGUGUGCUGUGGAUCCAGACAUAGAAUCCUACUGUUAGGGGUGAGGGCUUGGCAAGCUACUCUAACUAACAA